rnacentral:tRNA from 1 species
GGUUUCGUAGUGUAGUGGUUACACGCUCGCUUCACAUGUGAGAGACCCUAGGUUCGAGCCCCAGUAGAAUCA